rnacentral:rRNA from 1 species
AUGGCUUCAUCCGAUUCCACGACGAGGCCACGGUGCGUUGACCAAGAGGACAUGCCGAGCAAGUGGGAGGAGGCAAGGUUGGACAAGACAAAGGAGAAGGAUGUGAAAACCCCUUCAUGUUGGUGUGCAGAUGAGUGCAAGGUGAAGGUCUCCACUGACCGGAAGAAGUCCUGGAUGGAAGGAAGAAGAUAUUUUGUGUGUCCCAACUAUGCACAUGAUCGCGCGCGUCCCACUAACGCCUAUGACAUCCCACCGUCACCUCCUCCACUUUGCAAGUACUUCACAUGGAUAGAUCAUGAAGUGCCAGAAGAUGUCCAAAAAGACCAACUUCAAGAUUGCCUUAGGAGACAGCGAUGGUUUGAAGAAUCCUUACAGAGAGCCGAGGACGAGGAACGUCGUGAGAGGGAGAGGAAGGAGCGGAAGAAGCGUGAGGAGGAGAGGGCGCGCAAAGAGAAGGCAGCUCGUCAAGACGAGAGGGCAAGAAAGCUUGCAAGGGCUCGCGAUGCACAAGAGGAGGAUGAGGCACGCGACAAGAAGGGGAAAUGGCCGCGUGUGACCCAAUAA